GCGUGCUCUACAUCCCACCUGUGCGGCGCGCGCCAGGUACCCUGUCCCCCGCGCAACGCACGGCCCCGUCAGACGUCGCCGGCACGACCAUCUCGGCCUCUACUGCACCCCGUGGCCCGCCGCCUGGGUUCCCACCUCAGGCCGCGGCCCCUGCGUUCGCCCCUCCGCCGUGCGAGAUCACUAGGGUGUACUCGCGCCGCCCGCGCGCUCCUGCUCCUGCACCCGAUGGACCACCGACCUUGCCCAAGGGCAUCGUGGCUGUCCCUCUAGUGAGCAACGAGCACAGCAUGGCGACGCGCGUCAAGACAGGCUAUCAGAUGCCUGCCCGGCCCAUCCUCCACGUCGCCACUCUGUCUCCCAUCCCGAACACCUACCGUAGCGCUCUAGCUAACCCUAAUUGGCGAGCUGCAAUGGUGGAGGAACAUGAGGCUCUGUCGCAGAACCACACCUGGGAUCUUGUGCCUCGUCCUGUCGAGGCCAAUAUGGUCACUGGAAAGUGGAUCUUCAAGCACAAGCUCCAGGCAGAUGAGUCUCUCGAGCAGUACAAGGCACGUUGGGUUCUUCACGGUUUUUCUCAGUGCCCUGGUGUGAAUUUCUCAGAAACCUUCAAUCCUAUGGUGAAGCCAGCUACUGUUCGCACAGUACUCUCUCUGGCUCUCUCAUGUCAAUGGCCCAUUCACCAGCUUGAUGUCAAGAAUGUCUUUCUGCAUGGCACACUGACUGAGGCAGUAUAUUGCAUGCAGCCUUCUAGUUUUGAGGAUCCCACCCAUCCGGAUGUUGUUUGCCGUCUAAACAAGUCCUUAUAUGGGUUGAAGCAGGCGCCUCGGGCUUGAUACAGUCGGUUUGCUACGCACUUGCUAUCUCUUGGACUUUUGGAAGCCAAGUCAGAUACUUCACUCUUCACUCUUUGUCUUCCAGCGUGGAUCGGACAUAGCUUAUUUGUUGCUAUAUGUUGAUGAUAUUGUCUUCACUGCCUCGUCUCCACAUCUUCUUCGGCGGAUUAUCUCAGCUCUUCAGCAGGAGUUUUCUAUGAAGGACCUUGGUGAACUGCAUCACUUCCUUGGUGUGCAUGUUUAGUGCUGCGGUGAUGGUCUUCAACUCUCACAACGACAGUAUAUGUUGGACAUUCUUGACCGUGCUGGGACGGCAGAGUGCAAGCCGUGUUCUACUCCAGUUGAUACUAAUCCUAAGGUGGCCACUGCUGAUGGUGCUCCUGUUUUGGAUCCUACAGAUUUCCGGAGUCUUGCUGGUGCUGUACAAUACUUGACAUUCACCCGGCGGGAUAUUUCUUAUGCUGUGCAGUAAAUUUGUCUUCACAUGCAUGACCCCAGGGAGCCUCACCUUGCAGCCCUCAAACGGACCCUCCGCUAUGUUUGAGGCACUCUUCACCUUGGUCUUUUGCUGCGACUGUCUUCUUCGACUGAUCUUCGAGUCUACACUGAUGCCGACUGGGUAUGUUGUCCGGAUACACGCAAGUCUACCUCAGGCUAUGUUGUGUUUCUUGAGGACAAUCUCAUCUCCUAGUCCUCGAAGCGUCAGAACACCGUCUCCAGAUCUAGUGCUGAAGCCGAGUAUCGCGCGGUGGCUAAUGGUGUCGCCGAGGCCACAUGGUUAUGCCAACUUCUUCAAGAGCUCCAUGCACCUCACUGUCACGUGACAUUGGUAUACUGCAACAACAUCAGUGCAAGUGCAGUUUACAUGACCUCCAACCAAGUCUAGCAUCAGCGCACCAAGCACAUCGAGAUUGAUCUUCACUUUGUACGCGAGCGGGUCGCUAUUGGUGAUCUGAGGGUUCUGCCUGUUCCGACUUCAUCUCAAUAUGCGGACAUCUUCACCAAAGGCCUCCCUUCUUCGGUGUUCACGGAGUUCAGGACCAGUCUGAACGUGCAUAGCAGCUAACGAUCAGACUGCGAGGGGUGUUAGCGUGACAUAUUUAGGCUGGCCCGUUGGGCUUUAGGCGCCUGCCAUUGGCCAGGGCUGCCAUGGGUUUUAUGGUUGAUUGAUAUGUAUUAGGCAAGGAUCUCCGUUGGUUGAGUGUAUUCUAUAAACCCUAGACGACCCUUGCCUAUAUAAUGUAUCAUGUACUCCCUUUAAUCAAUCAUCCAAUUUCCCGAGCCUUUCUUGCUUUCAACUAUGUUUGAACCAGCCUCUUAGACUAAUUCAUAUCACCUGAACCCAAAGUAAAAAAAAAAGUAACUGCAAGUCACUUGCUGUAUAUUCUCUUCCUACGUGUGUUACCUCAAGCUAUUGGAAAACUGAAAUACAAGAACAUUGAAAAUAAAAAUAAAAAAUUAUCAAAAAACUUGGGUCGUCAUCCCAUUCUCUUCAGAAUUAUGUCAAGAACAUAAUCUCUCUUAUUGUUUACUUGAUACAGAACCUCCCACAUGGUUCCAAGAACAUAAUCUCUUCAGAAACUGAAAUAUAUUUAGCAUUGCUAAAUAUAUUUGUACAACCUGAUUUAUCCAUCUACAAAAAAGAGAUGUGUAUUUCAACAUUCCAGUUUUUUUAGCAGGAGGCACUACAUAGCCACUGGAAGAUUUACAGCAGAAACUGGAGUUGUCAAGGUAUUUUGGAGCAACCAUACCCUAUUAAAUGUUAGAAUUUGAUCAAAGUGUUUUACUUUCUAUGUGCAGAGAACCUCAGCAAUUUCAUGAACCUCCUUGAAGAGAAUGGAGUUGAUCUCAAAGAAGUUGAUGUCCGCUUUCACAGAACCUUAUUGCUGAAUUCAUGGGUUCAGUUCCUCCAGAAGUGAAUUCCCCUCCAAACAUGAUAGAAGGUGAUGAAGGCGAGAAUGUUCCUGCAGAACUAACCAAGCCAACCUACCAAAGAACAUUUUUUUUUGAAUUUAAACUGUGAGGAAGAUCCCCACAGCAUUGUAUUAAAAAAGAAAACAGUUAUGUACAACCUACCAUAGAUACAACCUACCACCGAUCCCAAGCUUCACUACACUCACGUGUUCUGAACAUUAAUGGAAUGAAAAAUAGAGAGCAAUUGUUUCAUCCAACUA